GUCACGGCCAUGCCUAGAGCGCUCAGGAUUCCCUCCUCGACGAGGCAGUGGUGGCCAGCGGGCACAGGAAAGGCUGGGCACAGCUGCCUUACCACUCAGAGCCAAGAGACAGUGGGCGGCACCCCUGUGUGUCCGCUUCCGUCAUGAACACAGGAGGACAGGCAAGCACGGCGGGAAGGCGGUCUGCAGGACAGGGUUGGCCCGGAGGAGCCCGGAUGACGCUCAGACGGACCGGGGACCCUCGUAACACGCACCGAAUGACAGACACCAACCAGAAUGUACAGGAGUCUCCAGAGGUGAAAAGAAAGAUGGAAUCAGUGACUAAUGGUGCCUGAGGUCAUGACAACCCCGGAGGGGGCCCUGUCCCCAUGACUUGGAAACAGGACUCUAACGUGUCCCCUGAAGGGCAGAUCCCAGGCACAAAAGGCCUGGGGUUCCCCCAGAUCACCACGGCCGAGCUGGUGGCCUCCCUGUGCCAAAUGACUCCAUAUAUGAUGUAGUCUGCACGUUAACAUUUGACAGGUGUCAACUUUUACAUGUAAGAUGACUGCCGUGCUACUAAGAACCAAGAAUUUCAGUACAAGGGGGCAGAGAUGCAAAUAAAGUGGUAAACGAGUAAAAAAAAUCUGAAUUAGAAGAGUCCAUGUGGAAUCAUAUCUCUUUUCUCCUGAAAGAAAGUAGCUCCAGGUCUCUGAACUGCGAAGGGCAAUUAACCACCUGGGAACAACAUGACCCACGGCCAGUAGCCCUCACCCAGGCAGGACGGCUGGACGCCACGCCCUGGAGAGGACCCAGAGCCCCUCGGGAAAUGGGGGACCCUGGGCCUAGGCUGGAAACGCCACGCAGACGUAAUCCCGUGUCCUGGCGGAGAGCCAGGCCCGCAGCCAGGGACGGCUGUGCUCCUCAGGUGGACUCUGGGGCUGAGGAGCCCUCAGACAACGAUGCAUCAAGAGUCAUCGGCCUGGAUGAAAGCGGUCAGCCCUGUUUACCAUGGGCACCUGGUCAGCUGGAAGGCCUGGGCCCUUGUCUGAAAACCACAUCUGCAUGUGACCACUGUCGCUGCAUGUGGCUAAGGAGCAGAUCGGGUCACUGGACAGAAGGGCCUCCCGGCAGGCAGCUGAAACCCCGCCACCCGUGGAGGGUCCCACCCGAGUCCCGGGGCACAGCGGUGCAGAGCUCAGGGCCUGGGUCAGCCCCUGCCUGCGCACCCAGGGGCCUCGGACCCUGGGGGAAAGAGGGACGGGCACUUGGAGCUGUCUGUGGCCAGCUGAGGCUACGGCGCCUGCAGGAGGGGCACUGCUGUCCCUGAAGGCACAGGCCCGGAGGCCCUCCCUCGGCCCGCAGGGACCCCAGGGCCCCAGAGGAGCGCCUCCACACCCAGGCCCGUGUCCUGUGUCGCCCGGCGCCCACCUGGGAGACCAUGCAGAGGGGCAGGGCCCAGGCCUCGAAUCACAGGCCUGAGUUUCCUCUGGAACAAAAUAAUUACCACCUUCGCAGACAACCUGAGCUCGCUGAAAGCAAGGCGGAAGUCAGCUGAGAAGCGGAGGCACGUUUUUAUUCAGAGUCGGAAGAAAGCAACGCCUCUCCGGGAGUUGGUGAUGGACACCGAGGCCUGGUGUGCUGCAGUCCACAGGGUCGCAGAGGGUCGGACACAACUGAGCAACUGAACUGAGCUGAACUGAAAGCCUGUCUGGGUCGCCAGGCCCGUAGAUACAGCUCUGGAAGGGAGAAGCCCAGGAGGAAGCCGGAGCCUGGGGACAGGAUCUGGCCGCCUCUGCCCGCGUGACCACGGCUCCGGCAGGGUGAGGCGGGGUGGCCGCCAGGAGCCAGGCUGCAGGGUUUCCGGGCUGGCUUCCCGGCCGCUGUCUUCAGUUCCCGGGAGAGUCACCUCGUGAGGCUGAAAGUGCUGCUGGGGCCCAGCCGUGUGCACAGCCUCCCUGAGGGGCAGGGCGCCUCCCUCGCCCUGCGUGUGCACAG
ensembl:lncRNA